AUACACUGUUGUUAUGGGACUGUUCGUGUAUGCUGGUUAUACACUGUUGUUAUGGGACUGUUCGUGUAUGCUGGUUAUACACUGUUGUUAUGGGACUGUUCGUGUAUGCUGGUUAUACAUUGUUGUUAUUGGACUGUUCGUGUAUGCUGGUUAUAUAUUAUUGUUCUGAUAGAUGGCAGUAUGUAAUGAGUAAUUAGUGUAAAAAGUGACCUGGUUAGGGGGGGGAACAUUUUUUUAUAACAUUUUAGACACCAUAUGUGGAUUAGUGAUUUAAUACAUCUGUUAUACGACGAAAUUCUUGGAGAUAGCUGUAAUUUUAUACAUGUAAGAAUCUUAACAGAAAAAUUAAGAUAGACGCUUAUUGUAGACUUUCACAAAAGGGGAUUAUCUCUGUAUUCUAAGUGUACUGGUAUUGUGAGCUGUGGUUUUAUCUGGCCUUGGACUCUGUGCAGUGUAGUGAACAAUAGUUAUGAAUGUUGUGACUGCAUCGGCUAGCUUCAUAUAUAUUCAUGUUAUGUAGGGAUGGUUGAUAAGUUUAACAGACACUCUGCUAUCUGUGGUAAGGGGCACUCGGCAGAAGAAACAUAGUUCAAUGUAAUAUUACAUUCUCCAGGCAAUUAAUUACUCGCUGCUUGAUAGUGAUAAGUUCUAUUUAUUUUUUUCUCUUCCAGUUUCCACUAUUCAGGUUAUUGUCAUUGUCAUAGCUGUAGUGUUAAAGCUGGGUCUUCUCACCUGCGUCAUUAGUCAUCAUAAAAUGGGAGCGCGGUCGUGGAGUGAAGGAAGGGGGCGGCCGCCUCCCCAAACAUUUCUCCAGGUACCACAACCCCAACAUCAUCGUCACCAGUUGUACCUACCAGCACCACAUCAUUCGGUGCUCUUUAGGCAGCAGGGUCUACAAGAUAAGAAACGAUUAGAGUUGGCAGCCCAACAGGAAAGACAGAUUAGACAGCAGUCAGUUCAGACAGACCUGGCACUCGAUCUUCCAGCAUCUGUAACCUUGCCCGAUGGUGAGGAACACCCAUACGGUAGCUCAAAGUUACUUCGCUUGCGGAACCCUCAGCAAGAAAGCGAGAUAUAUAGAGGCUGUAUACGCCCUCCUCCAAACAGAACAGUGCUCCAAGGGGAUGGUCUCGAAACGUAUCACUCUAAACCCGCGUGUUUCUCCUCUAAACCCUGUGCACCUGCUAGUGUCUUGCGAACUAUAGAUAGAAAUCCCCUAGUCAUACCCCGUCAGAGUGUCGGUGGUGGAAAUCACCACCAGGGUGGUGCCCUAUCUCAGGUAUUCCCGUCAUACUUUAGGAUACCAGUACCUACGUGUGGAAAAACAACAAGUCGUAGAGCCAGUUCUACAGGUGAGGCAGAAUGUCAAAGGCAGAUGACCUUUGAAGCAGUUGACUCUCCACCCAGAUAUAGUGACAUCAUUCAAAAUCAUGACCUUUGUAGAUUCUCUGGGCAGUCUGAGAGUGGUGUUUGAUCACCUACUUAUCUCUGGUGAUGAAAGUCUUUCACUUGCCUGCAGCAGCCUUGUGAUAAAAAUUUCAACUGGGACUUGCCGGUGUUACGUGAGCGAGCCUAGAGUUGGAAUGCAGAAGGUUAUCCCCUUCUUAGUGCCUCACAUUUUGUUGUUGGUUUUUCCUCGUUGCUACAGCAGCUUUCGUGUAGACCAGACACAAACGGUGGAUUUGUUUGCUUCUCCAAACACACGAUUUUCUGUCCGCGAUGCUUGCGAGUGUUGCUAUAACUUUAACCAAGAUUGACACCUGUGCCUGUAUGUUUGUGUAUAUGAACAGAAAAAGAUCCAACAAUUCAGUGUUUCAAAAUAUCAUGUUUAUAUAGUCACCAUGGACAAAAAAAAUGAAACUAUUAUACAAAUCUUUGCUGUAUUGAUUUGUUGGCGGACAUUGUACUGUACUUAGUUCUAAAGCAGAGGAGAAAGAAAACGUUGUUAAUGUAGUGAGUAAACAGACUAGUCUAAACUGUCAGUUUUUGUUAAAAGUGAUAACAUCCAAGUGAUGUGAAGAAAUCUUUCUGAAAUGAAUAUAAUAAACAGUGUUAAGAGUUGCCUGUUUAAGCCAGUAAGCCCUGUCAUUUUAUCCCUUUAUAAUGAUCACUAACAACUCAAAGGUUUGAGUGACAACAGAUUUUUCAGGGUAUAUGAUGAACUUUUAAAAAUUCCAAGAUGGAAGGAGCAUUCCUCUGGUUUUGUGGCAGAUUUGCAGUAUCUUUUGACCUCCGAGAUCAAGGAACUUUUAGGUGAAGUGUGUAAGAUGAUUGUUCAGCCAACUCGUUGACCACUACUGUUAAGAUGACCUCACAAUAGCUGAAGGUAGUUACCAUUAGAAAUGGGAAGAAUUACAGCUCAAUACAUUUUUUUUGGCUAUAACCCUUAUUAACCAGAGAAAUUCUACUGAUGUCAUGGCAUAAGAAAAAUAAAUUUCUGUUUGGAUAAAGUUUUCUGAAAGAUGUGUGGACAUGAUACGGCUCUGAAGGGGAUGUGCCUGGGUAAGGAUUUUAACAUAUACCAUUUCUAGCAGUAAUGCUGCAGACAAAUGUUUACUGUUUUACAAAGAUGAUAAGUGAAUUUUUGUCAUGUUAUUGAGAGGGGUGAAUAUGUGAUUGUAUAUAGUUUCAAUAUUUUAAUUUAUUUACUGCUUUAUAGAAAAGAUAAAAUGGAGGAAAGAAAACAAUGUGAUUUUGAGUAGGAAAAUAAUAUAAAAUUUUCUUAUUGCCAUAAAACACCCACUACAACAGUAGUUAAUUUGUAAAUUAUUUGGAUUCUUGGGAACCUCUAAAGUAUGAAAGCUUGGAUUCUUUAGUAGAGUUUGUUUUGAAACAGGUCAAAGUUCCUGGUGUCAGUGACUGCUACUUGUUUGUUUAGAAGUGCCUUCUUUUGUUACUUUGUACUUAACAUCAGAUUGUUCUAAAUAUGCCAGUUUGAAACUUCUGUAACAGAAUCCAAAUGUUGUAAAAUUAAACUUGUACCAGAGCAGUACUAACAUUCUUGACUCAGGCACUCGUUUAAAGAAUUGUGAUGUAGCAGUUAAUAGUGAAGAGAUGAGCUGGCAAAUGAUCCUAGAAGUUGUUCUUAGUGGUGUUCUAAAGUUACAUGAUUAUGGAUAUAACACAUGCUUAAGAAUGUUUUUAGGA
rnacentral:misc_RNA from 1 species